AGGAGGGCAAGGAACGAAGGGCAAAACCUACAGCCCGGAAAGGAGAGAGGCAUAAAACCCAAAGAGUUUAAGCUGAAGAGGCAAUGGAAAUGGGGCUAUGGGUGGAUAAGGAAGCAGAGAGUGAGGGUGGGGCUUGGAAAAAAGAGAAGAGAAAGAGGAGAAAAAGCGUGCGUGUGAAGAGAGUUAGGCAAGAAAAGGACGAGAGAGUGGGCAAGGAGAGGCCGGAGCAGGGAGGGGCAAAGCAGGCAGAGAGAAAGGUGAAAGGUCCCUUAACCUCUCCGAGGCUCAGCUUCCUAACUGCCCAAAAGACAAGGAUAUUGAGGCCCUAAAAUUAGAGUGACCUAGCCAUCCUGCUGAAGAGUUGCCAGCCCCAUCCAGGGCACCACCCAGACCUCAGACCCCAGCUGAGUGAGAUAGAUCUCCACGCAGACUGCUGCAGCCCAAAACAUGGGGUUCCAUCUCCUCUACCUACCAGGUGGAAGGCUAUCUUCCAGGAGGGGCAGGUCAUUAGCAUUGCCCAUCCUGCUCCCCGCUCCCUGCUGCUCAGGCUAAGUCCUAGGUGUAUGGUAUAGUGAUUCAACAACUUUGUACAUCACUCAAUGCUGAUCACACCAUUCUGACAGGUGUGAGGUGAUAUCUCAUUGUGGUUUUGAUUUGUGUUUCCCUGAUGAUGACUGAUGCUGAGCAUCUUUUCCUGUGUCUUUUGGCCAUCUGGAUGUCUUCUUUGGAGAAAUGCCUCUUGAUGUCUUCUGGCCAUUUUAAAUUUUGAUUAUUUGGGGUUUUCUGGUGUUGAGUUGUGGUUUUUUGUUUUUCUUUUUUAAGAUUUUAUUUACUUAUUUGACAGAAAGAGAGCACAAGCAGGCAGAGCAGUAGGGGGAUGGAGAAGCAGAUUCCCUGCUGAGCAGAGCCCAGUGUAGGGCUUGAUCCUAGGACCCUGGGAUUAUGACCUGAGCUGAAGGCAGACACUUAACCAAAUGAGCCACACAGGUGCCCAAAUUAUAGAAGUUCUUUAGGUAUUUUGGAUACUAACCUGUUGGUGCCCGAAAGUAAACACGCCAUUAAGAUGGCGGCUGGAUGCGAGCCAGUAGGCGGAACUGAGGAUUAAGGAAGUAGUCCAAAAUGCCUCUUGUAUCUAUGUGGCUGCAAGUGAUUGGUUGUACAACUUUGGUAUAUAUACACAUGUGCGGGCGGUGAAAGGGGAGAUCCCAACAGCUACCCAGAAAUAAAGCUUGCUUCGCUGAGGUCUCCUGGUCGUUCUUGCUGGCGAGAGCGACAAGUGGUGCUGAAACCCGGGAACCCUCGGAAACCGAGGAGUUCUCAGUGAAUGCAAUGAUCCGGAUGCCCAAGUGCCUAUCUGGGUCCCGGAACGACUGAUUAGAAGAAUCGAUCAACAUGGCCCGCCCCGUCCUGAUGCUCGGCCUGAUAGCGAUCCUGGCGACACAAGCAUCCCUUCAACAGAUGCACCAAUGGGCAAUAGUGAAAGCCUGGCCGUUCCCCAUGCCACUGACGAAUGAGUCCGCCAUCCUCCCUUCUGUAUACCUACUUUCAUUCCCAUGCCCGUUUCUGUAAAUCCUAAUGAUUUGCCUGUAUUGCUCUCAAGACAUAAAAGAGACUUUGGGAUCACUGCACCCAUUAUUGUGGCUGUAGCGGCCUCCGCAGCUGCAGCAACUGCAGCGGCUGUAGCUCUCACCACGUCUGUACAGACUGCCUCCACUCUUAAUAACCUAACUACUGGAGUUGCAGAAGCCCUCGCCACACAAGAACUAAUUAAUGGCCACCUUCAAGCCGGUAUUAUGAUCGUCAAUCAGCGAGUAGGUCUAAUCCAGGAACAAGUGGACAUUCUCCAGAAACUAUUGAGGACCGGAUGCAUCCAAUCACUUUCUGGACUUUGCAUAACUUCCGUGGCCUAUAAUGACCUUUCUAUUGCCGCUAAUCUGUCGAAAGAGUUAAGCAGACACCUAAAUGGGACAUGGUCCAAUCAAUAUUAUAAGUUGACAAGAUUGUUAAGACAACAAAUAUUCACUAUUAAUGCAACUAAGAUUGACAUAGCUCCAUUAUGGGAUUGGGUAUCUGUUGUAAACCAAUCACUCUUGUUUGCUAAAGAGUGGGCCGGUAUGGGUGCACUAUUAAUUGGACUACUCCUGACCUUGAUCCUUAUGUUCCGCUGUUUUGCAUCAUUACGUAAACAACAACGUAGACAACAGUUGGCGCUAGUACAAGCUUGCAUGGCACUGGAAGCUGGUAUAUUUCCCCAAAUCUGGUUGGCAGUGCUAUAUCAGUAGUCAAUGACGGGUAAGAUUGGCUGCAUGCACAUAGCAACCUAAGCCAGGAGUUCUCCAACCAGGGGGAAUUAUCCGAUGACGGGUAAGCAUGUUCAUGGCAGCUGACAACCUAAGACAGGCACGAUCUCCUGCCUUGCAUGCCUAAUAUAAAAGAAAAGGGGGAGAUGUCGGGGCCCGAAAGUAAACACGCCAUUAAGAUGGCGGCUGGAUGCGAGCCAGUAGGCGGAACUGAGGAUUAAGGAAGUAGUCCAAAAUGCCUCUUGUAUCUAUGUGGCUGCAAGUGAUUGGUUGUACAACUUUGGUAUAUAUACACAUGUGCGGGCGGUGAAAGGGGAGAUCCCAACAGCUACCCAGAAAUAAAGUUUGCUUCGCUGAGGUCUCCUGGUCGUUCUUGCUGGCGAGAGUGACACUAACCCUUUAUCAGACAGGUCAUUUGCAAAUUAUCUUCUACCAAUCAGUAGGCUGUCUUAGUUUUGUUGAUUGUUUCCUUUGCUGUGCAGAAGUUUUUUUUAAUUGAUGAAGUCAGAAUAGUUUAUUUUUGCUUUUGUUUCCCUUGCCUUUGGAGACCUAUUUAGAAAAACGUUGCUAUGCCUGAUGUCAGAGAAAUUACUGUCUAUUCUCUGGGAUUUUUAUGGUUUCAGGUCUCACACUUAGGUCCUUAAUCCAUUUUGAGUUUACUUUUGUGUAUGGUGUAAGAAGGUGGUCCAGUUCAUCCUUUUGCCUGUUGCUGUCCAGUUUUCCCCAAUACCAUUUGUUGAAAGGACUUUUUCCCAUUGCAUAUUCUUGCCUCCUUUUGUCAAAGAUUAAUUGGCCAUAUGAUUGUGAGUUUAUGUCUAGGUUCUCUAGUCUGUUCCACUAACCUCUGUGUCUGUUUUUAUGCCAGUACAAUACUGUUUUGAUUACUACAGUUUUGCACUGUAUCUUAGAAUUUGGAAUUGUGACACCUCUAGUUUUGUUUUUCUUCUUCAGGAUUCCAUUGGCUAUUAAGGGUCAUUUGUGGUUCCAUACACAUUUUAGGAUUAUUUAUUCUAGUUCUAUGAAAAAUGCCAUUGGCAUUUUGAUAGGGACUGUAUGAAAUCUGUAGAUUGCCCUGGGCAGUAAUGACAUUUUAACAGUAUUUGUUCUUCCAAUCCAUAAGCAUGUAUCUUUCCAUUUGUGAAAUAUUCAAUUUCUUUCAUCAAUGUUCUAUAGUUUUCAGAGUAGGUCUCUCAUUUCCUUGGUUAAGUUUAUUCCUAGGCAUCUUAUUAUUUCUGGGGUACUUGUAAAGGGGACCAUUUUCUUAAUUUCUCCUUCUGCUAUUUGACAGUAUAUAGAAACACAACAGAUUUCUGUAUAUUGAUUUUGUAUCCUGUAACCUCAAUGAAUUCAUUUACGAGUUCUAGUAGUUCUUUGGUGGACUCUUUCAGGUUUUCUAUAUAUAGUAUUGUAUCAUUUAUAAAUAGUAAAAGUUUUCCUUCUUCCUUCCCAAUUUGGAUGCAUUUUAUUUCUUUUUCAUGUUUGACUGCUGUGGCUAGAACUUCCAGUACUAUGUUGAAUAAAAGUGGUGAAAGUGGA